GGCCCACCUAAGAAAUUUAUGUCACUAGUUGGGAAGGGAUAUUGGGCUUGAAGAAAAAAAAAACAAACAAAAAACUUUCCAUUAAGACAAGUUGGUGAAGUUUAUAGCGUAGGGAAGAACAGAUGUGGAGCUGUGAGUCACUCUGGAUGCGUGACGUGCAGUAAACAUAGGGAGGCUGAAUUAAACACAAGUCGGAGCUACUCUGUUUGACUUCAUGCCCUUGGGGUGGGGGGCAAUGAGCAGAGAUUGGAACAAAGCAGGGGUGAAGAGUAUUCAAUUUGGUCCAUGUGGGGAAUUGAGAAUCAAGAAGCAUCUCUCAGAAUAGCAGGCCCCAUGGUGGCUUUGUGUAAAAAUGGAGGUUAUAGAUUUACUUAAAGCAAAAUAAGAUUGUUCUAGAGAUUAAAAUCCAAGGGACCAGAGC
rnacentral:lncRNA from 1 species